GUUAGCCUGAGGCCCUUAGCAGGAUGAUGGCUGCUCGGCUAGUGGUGGGGCUUUCGCCUCUGGCCUCCACUCGCGUUCUCUCCCGGCCUCCCCGGCGACGGUGGACGCGUCCUGGGGCGACGCCGACGCAGCCUCCACACACACCUAUCCGAGCUGCAGGUCUUCCCCGUUGGGUGACGCGGGGUGAGGGGAGCGCGGCCGCUUUCCCCGAGAGCAACGACCACCCGGAUUCCCCACCCACUUUCCUCCCCCGCCCCCACAUUCUUCCCCUGUCUCCUUACGGCUUUGUCUUCCCUUUUCGGAAAUUCCUGACUACACACUUCGGGUCGGCGGCGGCCUCCACGAACCUCACGGGCGUCGCCCGUUGCUGGCGCGCUAUCCGAGUAAGCUGUCUCCUUCAUAGUGCCCACGUGCCCACUUUCCUAGGGAACGCGGACUGAUUAACCAGAACAGCACUGCCCAGUGGAACUUUCUUUGGUGAAGGAAAUGUUCUAGAUCUGCACUGUCCAACACAGUAGCCAUUAGCUGCAGGUGACCAGUGAACAUUUGAAAGAUGGCCAGUGCGACUAAGGAACUGACUGGACACAAGAGGCCUUCCACAAAUAUUUGUGAAGUAAAGGGGAAGCAGUGGAAGAAAAAAAAUCACAUAAAGGACUCUUUGUGACACAGCAGAAACGUGUUAAGCACCUAUCACCUCAGGCCUAGCCUGCAAUUGUCCUGGUAAGCCUCCCUGCACAAGGUCUCUCGUUCUGGAGCACCACCCCUGAAUCUCCUGUCACCUGUCAAGCUAGCUCCCCUGAGAUGUGCAGAACCAUAGGUGCCCAAUGCCCCCCGACAGCAGCUAGAUUUAGGAAACUACUAGACCAUGCAGAAUUGCAUGCCUGGGAGGUUUGCCCACAUGGGACUUAAGUUCCAGAGAGGAUGAGACACAGACCUAAGCCAGAGCCACAAAGAUGGGAAGAGACCUUAGGAGGCUGGAUCAACCCGGGGGGAAAGAAACCAUGUUGGGUGAAUACAAAGUGCUUGUGUUGCUGGGGACCUUCCAGGUAAGGUUUGGUUUAGUGACCUGUGCUCAUGGUUAGAAGGGAGGUUUUCACUGUAGAGAAUGAAAGGAAUGACGUGAAUAUGGAAAAGAAAAAAUAUUAAUGUUGAGCCAUCAGGCUAACAAAGGAGUCCAGGAAAGGGGGACAAAGAGUCAGUGAAGACUCUAGUCUAUGUUGUGGCAAACAGAAGGUCAUCACCAAAGAUGGGGCCAGGUGCAGGCUUCACAGCUGAAGACUGCCAGGUUGCUCCGAAGCCACUUUCAUGAGAGCAGAGAACAAAGGCGGGCAGAACACCCAAAGUUCUCCUUAUAAAGCCAGUACACUCUGAUACAGAAGUGUCCAAAAAUAACAAACAAAAAGAAGAAAACCACCUACAUCCCCAACCUAAUUUAUGAAUAUUGAUGCAAAAACCCUAAAAAAAUAAGUUAAGAGACACCAGCAACACAUUACAACAAGGGCACUUCUAUGAUUAUGUCACUGUUAAUUGUUCAAAUGAGAAAAUCCCCAUGGUCGCUUUGGAGGGGGGAAAUUGGGGCUAUUACUAAUUUUCAUUUAUUAGAAAGGGUGAGGUGACUAUUUCUUUAUCCAGAUAAAAACUGAUUUGAAUCACAGAAUCCAGCAGCACGCUUGUCAAAACCUAGAGACUUGCCCUUUUAAGUCUAAGACCGGAUACUCAAAUCAUCACACUCUCAGCCCAGUGUUUUGGAAGUACCAGAUAUGAUGACUGCAAUUACAUGAUCGUGCAAAUGAAGUAAAAUAAUACAACUGCCUCCUCCUUUAUACUUGCCAGUAAGAUGACUUUGUACUGAGAAAAUUGGUGAGACUCUAACAAAACUGUUACAAAUAAUAGAAUUUAGCAGCAUGACAGGUUCAUCUGCAACAACUAAGGAAGACUGCAAGGGAUGAUUAACCUGAGCAGAUUAACAGCAACUACAGUGAACUCCCAGCAGCACUUGGAAGGCCUGACUAGCACAGUGAGGUAAGCACAUCCCUCUGUACACCUGUGCCAAAACUCAACUGAGACCAGUUCUGCAUCAAGGAAUGUCUGAAUCCAAUCAAAGGUAAGACACGUUCUAACAAGAUUUUCUCAACGAAUCCUGACAAGCUGAUGGUGAGUUCAUUUGGUUGAAAACAGAUCUGUUGUUUUUUUUAAAUAAUGAGAGGAACUACCAUUUAUCCAAGUUUGUUGUAAAGUUACAAUAAGUACAGCAAUAUGGUGUUUACUCAGACACUGACAGAGACCAUGGGAGCAUAAGGGGCCAAGAAGGCCUGCACAUGGUGAUGACUAUGGGAAUUAAGUCUGUGAUAAAAACGGCGUUUCCAAUAAUGAGAAGAACCAAGUCAGAAAACGGUGUUGAAAAAACUUGUGCCCCACAUCAUAUACACAAGGAAACCCAGUUAUAGGAAACAGCUACCCCCCCACACAAAAAUACCAGAAUUGACAAAAGUAUUGGUACAACUUGCCUAUGUAUGACGUGAAACCUAGAAUAGGAGUAAAGACAGAUUUGAAAGAAAAAAUAUCUGAAAUCAUAAAACUUCUUUAUGGAGACUAAAUAAAGGUAAAAGAUAAAUGUUGGGGCUUCCCUGGUGGCGCAGUGGUUGAGAAUCUGCCUGCUAGUGCAGGGGACACGGGUUCGAGCCCUGGUCCGGGAAGAUGCCACAUGCCGCGGGGCAACUAGGCCCGUGAGCCACGGCGACUGAGCGUGCGCGUCUGGAGCCUGUGCUCCACAACAGGAGAGGCCGCGAUAGUGAGAGGCCCGCGCACUGCGAUGAAGAGUGGCCCCUGCUUGCCACAACUAGAGAAAGCCCUCGCACAGAAAUGAAGACCCAACAUAGCCAUAAAUAAAUAAAUAAAUAAAAAGGCCAAGCAUUUGAAGCCCUUUAAAAAAAAAAAGGUAAAUGUUGGACUGGUAUUUGCAGUAUUAACAUCCAUAACAUAUAGUAUAUAGAGUCCUCCUGACCACACACACACAAAAGACAAACCAAAUAGGAAAAGGGAAAAUACAUAAACUAACAAAACCAAAAAUACAAGUGAUCUGUAAACUUAUGAAAAUACAUGCAACUUCAUGAGGGAAAUAUGAACUAAACAUAUCUUUUCCCAUCACAUCUGAAAAUCUUAAAAGAGGACUAUAAAUCGCUGGUAUCUUAUGAAAAGGAAAAGCUCUCAUGUUCUUGAGCAGCUAUAUGUAUUUUAAAAGAUCUUAGCAGUUUGUUGCUACCAGAUUUUUUCACUUACGUCUUGGUUGAUUCUAAGUUCCAUUUCUAGAAAUCCUUACCUACAAAAAACCAACUUGAGUGCAAAAAAAAGUAUGCGAGGAAGUUUUUUGCAACAACUUGAAUGUCCAUCAAGAGUGAAAAAAUCAGGGCAUCCCUGGUGGUGCAGUGGUUAAGAGUCCGCCUGCCGAUGCAGGGGCCACGGGUUCGUGCCCUGGUCCGGGAAGAUCCCACAUGCCGCGGAGCAGCUGGGCCCGUGAGCCAUGGCCACUGAGCCUGAGCGUCCGGAGCCUGUACUCCGCAACGGGAGAGGCCACAACAGUAAGAGGCCCGCGUACCGCAAAAAACAAACAAAGUAAAAAAAUCAAAUGUGGACUACACUUGCAUUUGUUAAAAUGAAUGAUGCAGACCUGUCUGCACUGAGUAUGGAAACA